UGAGCCUUUUACCACCUGCCGGGAGAACAGCUCUAAUUCCCUUCCCCCCCCCCCCCCCUCCCCCCCAGAUCUGACUUUGUCAAUCAAGAAAUAAGAGGUGCUAAAUAGGGACCUGUGGUCCCUGCUUCUCAAGGAAGUCUUUAUUCAGAGCAACGUUGGCUCUGGUAGGCUGUUCAGGUCUCUGUGAAAGAAUCUUGUAACCAAACCAGCUUAUUUUAGGCUGUAAUAUUGUGAGGAUUUCACUGCAAGAGCUGGAAGUCUUUGGUAAAGCUUGCUGCUAAAAACAUCCUCUUAAGAUACUGGUAUGAAGGCUGCAGUGCUGCUGGUCCUGGCAAGUGCCGUGUCCUCUGAGUGCCUCUGGUCCACCCUUCCCAUACAGGGGAUGGGAACACAACCCCAGCAAUAUGGGGGUUUUUCAUUUUACACUGCAAACCCCAAAGUGCUGGCAUCAGACAGAAGUGAGGGCCAGAUCCAGCAGCUCCCCCUGGGGAAGGAAGAUUUCAGCCACUGCUUUAACAUGCUUGUGUGUCCCAAAGAAUAAAGUCACAGAUUUGGGAAGAGGCCUUUUUGAAGAGGCAGUCCAAAGUGCUAGUAGAUGCACCACCCUACCCAUGCUCCUGCUGACAGGUUCAGGUUUUUGCAAGGAGGACACUGGAAUGUCAGGCCAUCUGGUGCAAAGAUUAAGAUCCUUCUAGAUAUGCCUGACUGAACUGGGGAAGGAUGUGGGCAAAUCUGCAUUUAGACUACAGAUGAAGCAUUUCGUUCAGCAGCUGCUGAAAACAACUAGCAAUUCCUGAAGCUCACUUGAUUUGUUCAUCUAUAAAUGGCUUAUAUGUGAGAAUUGUGAUGACAUUUCCUAAACGAAGAGCACAAAAAAUUAAAUCUGGAGAAAAAAUCACCAACAACAACGGAAUGCACAUAGACCGUGCAAAUAAUUGAAUCCUUUACUGAUGCUUGUUAUUAACUGUGGUUAAAAUCUACAGGGUGCUAGUGCCCAGACCCUGGGAUUUACUGGGGUUAGCUGCUGUGCAGGGAAAGGCAAGACACAAGCCCCGAUUUCCUGCCAGACUGCAUCCUAGUCCUGCCAUCAGCUCUGCAUGGGUGGACUCCUGUUUUUGCGUGGCACCCUAUAUAAAAUCAGCAAGAGCCCGCCUGCAUGGAGCAAAGUCUGGGGCUAGAGCCCACUGGCAUGAGGAGAUACAAUAAUCUAUAAACUAUUUUAUAAAUGUAUAUUUGCUUUUCUAAAAAUUACUUUGAUUAUUCCGAUAUGACUGUAAAUACGUUGGCUUGAAAGACUUGUGAUUUUACAUUUGUGAGGCAGGGAUCUCAGUAUUUGCUAUAUGCCUUGCUAGAAACACUACUGUACUCAGAUUUUUCAUUACAAUAUGAUGGUUACAAUGUCAAUUGGCUUGCAUGGUAUAGCUCUGUCACUGUGGUAAUUUGGGCACCUGUUUUACAAAUACCAUUUCUGUACUAAAUACAGCGGGAAAGAGCUGGGAGAUGGGAACCUUCCAUAGGCUUAGAUCUGUGGUGCUCUCGCUGGGUGGGUUAUUUGCUCGCAGUGAUGGACUACAGCCUACCGAAAAAGAAAAAAAUCUUAAAGUACAUCUCGUAUUUCAAAACUAUCUGAUAUACUCUUCCAAAUUGUAGUUAGGUUUCUUUUGACUGCCUUUUUUCACUUUCAGAGGUGUGUACGGGCAUUACUGCUUUGAACCCAGUGUGACAGCAAAGAUACAGAAAAUGGGUGCAAAUCCUUGAACCUUGCAGCAGCGUCCAGGCUUAUCUACCUUUGGGCUUUUGGAAUACUUAUGUUAACAUAGGCAGAGCUACUUGGGCAUAAACACAAGUUUGCUGAACUGUGUGAAAUCAGAAUCGAGUCUGCGGUUUGUAUUUGGUAUGCAUCACUUCUUGUUUCUCUUUUGCUUUUUCUCAUGUUCUGUUCCUCAUACUAGGAUUUUUAUGCUUCUGUCAUUACUUUCUCAAAGGUCACACUAGGUAAGCCCCCUUCUACUUGUCCCCUUAUUUUUUACCUUUAUUUUAUACCCGUGUAGCAUCUCUCCUCCCUAGUCUUUCAAUUGUUCUGUUCUCUUUGUACCUAUUUAAUUAUUUAACCAUUUUAAUCUUUCUCCUUCUGGUAAGAAUUUUAUCACUGGAGGUAAAUACUAAGAACUGUAGAUGCACAAAAAAGCCAUGUUAAAUAUCAACAAAACAUAACAUUUAAUACAAAUCUACUGUUUAUUUGUUUGGUUUUUUUGUUUGUUUGUUUUCUGAAGUGUUAUUCUAAUAACCUGGAUUCAAAAUCUUAUCCUGGAUAUUUCUGGAAAGUCAUGAUGAUGAGGAGUCACCUGAAAACUAUGCCUUGGGUGGGGGAAGCAAGGCCUUAUAAAAGAUGACGAGCUAUGUUGAAUUACAUACUUCACGGGCUAUUAUU